rnacentral:tRNA from 1 species
GCCCUUAUAGCUCACUGGUAGAGCAUCUUCUUGGUAAGGAGAAGGCAAUGAGUUCAAUUCUCAUUAAGGGCUUAC